rnacentral:lncRNA from 1 species
GUAAGUUUCUGACUAUCCAUUUACAAGACAGUCAUGUUUAUUGCUCCUAAACAACAAAGUACUCAGCACAGGAUAGCAGAGAACCCUGAAGGAAGAGGUGCCAGGAGAGAUGAAAGGAAAUAUCAUGGGAAUGGAGUGCUGUUCAGCCUGCGGAAUGUCUGGAAUAUCUGAGAAGCAGCAGGACAACAGUCGAUGCCUCUAGUGGGAAUAAAAGUCAAUUGAAUAUCUACCAGACAAGAUAGAAUUUGCAUAUCCAUCAGUUACAAAGAGGGAAGAAGUAGCUCAAAGACAAUGAAAAGGACCAAAAUCUGAUAAUCCAUAA